rnacentral:rRNA from 1 species
UGGAAUCGCUAGUAAUCGCGGAUCAGAAUGCCGCGGUGAAUACGUUCCCGGGUCUUGUACACACCGCCCGUCACACCAUGGGAGUCGGAAAUGCCCGAAGUCUGUGACCCAACCUGAGAGGGAGGGAGCAGCCGAAGGCAGGUCUGAUGACUGGGGUGAAGUCGUAACAAGGUACC